UACGGAGGGUGCGAGCGUUGUCCGGAAUCAUUGGGCGUAAAGGGCGCGUAGGUGGCCCGGUCAGUCUUUGGUGAAAGCGCGGGGCUCAACCCUGCGUCGGCCAGGGAUACUGCCGCGGCUCGAGCACUGUAGAGGCAGGCGGAAUUCCGGGUGUAGCGGUGAAAUGCGCAGAUAUCGGGAAGAACACCCGUGGCGAAGGCGGCUCUCUGGAACGCAACUGACGCUGAGACGCGAAAGCGUGGGGAGCAAACAGG
rnacentral:rRNA from 1 species